UUGGGAGAUUUUGGGGUUUUUUAGGGAGGGGAUUUUAGGGAUUUCAUUGGGAGGAUUUUAAGGAGAGUUUGCAGGAGAUUUUGGGCAAAUUUGGGAGGGAUUUGGAGGAAGAUUUUGGGGAAGUUUUGGGGAUUUUUGGGUGGGAUUUUUAGGAUUCUGGGAAUGUUCAAGUUGAUUUCUCUCCCCUCUCCCCCCCCCCCCCAGACCUUCCAGACCCCCCCCAAAAUUCGGAGGAGCCCGAAAUCGUGGGAGCCUCGGAGCCCGGCCCAGACCCCCCCCUGCUCAGCGCCGCCCCCAAGGAGGGGGAGGGGCAGGAAGAAGAGGAGGAAGAGGGGGAGGGGCAGGAGGAGGCCACGCCCACGCCCCGCCCCCUCGCGGACGGCCCCUCCCCCCUCCGGCAGCGCCAGCUCUGCUCCAGCUCCUGAGCCCCUCCCCCACCCCCUCCCCCACCCCCGGUUCGGGGGGGGCUCAAUAAAGGCUUCGGCCCCUCCCCCACCCCCGAAACUGAGUUGGGAGUUAUUUGGGGGGGGGGAGGGGUGGGACAGGGACGGGAGCCCCAAAAUCCCCCAAAUUCCCCUAAAAUCCCCCAAAUUUUCCCCAGAAUUUCCCCAAAAUCCCCCUCCAUGCCCCCCAAAUUCUCUUCAAACUCUGCCCCCCAAUCAACCCAAAGAAAAUCUGGUCCAAAUUUAAGAUUUUUGGGGUAUUUUCGGGUGGGUUUUGGGGUCACUUUGCAGUGGCUUUGGGGUUGGUUUUUGGGUAUUUUUUGAUGGGUUUUGGGCUAUUUUGGGGUCGGAUUUUUUGCUAUUUUCAGGUGGGUUUUGGGGUCGGAUUUAGGGGUAUUUUUGGGUGAAUUUUGGGCUAUUUUAACGUUGGUUCUGAGCUGGUUUUGGGUGAGUUUUGGGCUAUUUUCCGGUGGGUUUCGGGGUCACUGUAGGGCGGUUUUGGAGUUGGGUUUUGAGGUAAUUUUGGGUUGGUUCUGGGCUAUUUUGGGCUAUUUUUGUGCUUUCGGCUUCACUUUUUAGGUUUCUCCGCUCCGUUCGCGUUCUCUCCUCCUUCUGUCCCUUCCCGGCCUCCGCCCCCACGUGACCUCGGCCCCGCCCCUGCCGCGGCACCACGUGACGCGAGGCGCCGGUGCCGCCAUGAUGGCGGCGGGCGGCGGGGCCGGGCCCGGGCGGGCCCUGGAGGCGCUGCUGGAGAUGGGAUUCGGGGCGCGGCGCGCGUGAGGGCGGCGCCACCGCGGGGACCCCGGGGGAGGGCCGGGGAGGGGGCCCCGGUAACCGGAGAGGGGCCGGGAAUGGGACCCGGGGGGGAUUCGGGGGUUUUGGGGAUUUUGGGGGGUCCCCGAGCCGCCCCCGUGACCCCUCCCGGGUCGGUCCCGCAGGGCGAAGGCGCUGGCGCUGACCGGGAACCGCGGGGUGGAACCGGCCAUGGACUGGUGAGGGGGAGACCGAAAAUACCGGGACCCCCAAAAUCCCGCCCGGAACCCCAAAAUCCCCCCCAGGCCCCACUCGAGAAUCCUAAAACCCCCCUGAGACCCCAAAAUCCCUCCUGAGAUCCCCAAAAAGCCCCUGGGACCCCUAAAACCCCCUGAGACCCCAAAAUCCCUCCUGGGACCCCCAAAAACUCCCUGAGACCUCCCAAAUUUACACCAGGACCCCCAAAACCCCCACAGGAUACCCCAAAUCUCCCCCUGGAACCCCCAAAUUGCCCCCAGGACCACCUAGAACCCCCGAGACCCCAAAACCUUCCCGGGACUCCCAAAUUCCCCCCCAGGGACCCCCAAAACCCCCUGAGACCUCGCCAGGGACCCCAAAUUCCCCCCGGGACCCUCAGAAAUGCCCUGAGACCCCAAAAUUCCUCCGGGACCCCAAAAACUCCCCUGGGCCCCCCCAAAAAAACCCUCAGGAUUCCAAAAACACCCCUGAGACCCCCCCCAGGACCCCCCAAAACCCCCCUGAGAGCCCCAAAUCCCCUCCAGGACCCCCGAAAAGCCCCAUAAACCCCCCCAGGAACCCCAACCCCCCCCGAUUUUCGGGACACCCCCUGAUUUUGGGCCCCCCCCCCCAGGCUGGUGGCUCACGAGGACGACCCCGACUCGGACUCGGACCCCGAGACCCCCCCGGAUCUGGGGGCGCUGCUGGGGGGGCCCCGGGCGCCCGCGGGGGAGCAGGACGAGACCCAGAAGUGAAUUUGGGGAGGAAAAAAUUUGGGGUUUUGGGGAGAAAUUUGGGGUUCAAUUGGGGAUUUAGGGGUUCAGAGGGUAAAUUUGGGACUUUAGGGGGAUUUGGGGGUUUAAAGGGAAGAUUUUGGGGUUUAGGGGAGAAUUUUGGGGGUAAUUUGGUGGUUUGGGGAGGAAAUUUGGGGUUGAAGUGGGAUAUUUGGGGUUUUGGGGGGGGGAAUUUGGAGGUCUGGGGGGAAUUUGUGGGUUUGGGCAGGAUUUGGGGGUCCCAAGAGAGAUUUAUGGGUUCAAAUGGGGAAUUUGGGGGGGGAUAUUAAGGGCAGAAUUUUGGGGAUUAAAAAGGGAAAAUUCUGGGGUUUCAAAGAGGCUCAGGGGAAAAAUUUUGGGGGGUUUCAGGGGAGAUUAGGGGUUUCAGGGGGAUUUAGGGGCUCAGGGGGAUUUGGGGUUCAGAGUUUUGGGGUUCAGGAUGAUUUUGGGGUCCCAGGGCGCUGUUGGAGGCCGGGCAGGAGCGCGAGCAGAGGGAGCUCAGUGACCCCGGGAUUUGAGGCUCAGAUUUUGGGGCUCAGGGUGAUUUCGGGGCUCAGGGUGAUUUUGGGGCUCAGAUUUUGGGGCUCGGGGUGAUUUCGGGGUUCAGGGUGAUUUUGGGGCUCGGGGUGAUUUCGGGGCUCAGGGUGAUUUUGGGGCUCAGAUUUUGGGGGCUCGGGGUGAUUUCAGGGGGCCGCGGGUGAUUUU
rnacentral:lncRNA from 14 species